ensembl:snRNA U6 U6 spliceosomal RNA
GUGUUCACUUUGGCAGCACAUAUAUUAAAAUUGGAAUGAUAGAAGAAGAUAACCAUGACACUUGUACUGGGAUGACACACAAAUUUAUGAAACAUAUAUUUUU